ACCAUAUUUACACACGUGUAUGUUGAAUUAUGCAGGCUUUCGUUUUUUUUAUCGAUGUUGGUUUAGACAUGUUUACAAACUUGCUAAGUUGCUAAGAUAAAUACAAAUACAAAUGCCAGCUAAACUGUUACCAGUAAAAUUUGUUCUCAUGAUCAAACUCAAGAAACUCUAAGUACAGAUGAUUUGUUUAAAGUUAUAUGUAUUUUACUGUUGUAUUUACUUGAAGCUUUCUUAGAUUUUGAAACGAAGUAAACACGUAAUGUGUGUUGCUAAUGUUGGGCCAUGUAAUAUGUAAUACAUUUACGUUUUAAUGAAUAGUCUAACGAUUUAUAGUCGUUGUACUCUAUUGUUAUAAUAUUUCUUUUUGACUGAAUACAUGUUUGUUUUAUUUGUCUAUAUCCUAGAUUCGCAGCUGGACACAUCCUUCUACACUGUAUGCAAACAUGCAACAUCAUUACACACAGUACAAGGAGUCAGACUGGCAUAUGAGGAGCAAAGGAACCCAGGCAGUAGCAUCGUUUCACAAUGUUUCCAUCAUCAUCAUCAGUGGAUGCCUUUGCCGUCCGUAGCCUGAGAUUUCAGAUUUGCAGCAAAAAAUUUUUGAUUUUCUCAUUUAUUGGAAUGCUGUGCAGGUAUUUGUACCUUGCAGCCAUCCAUUACAAUGUCACCAAGCCGUAACAAAAGCAGGAGAGGGAAAGUACAAGGCUAUGUUCCCAAAACACACAAGUGACAUACCUUAUGUGGAGGAUGUGAUCAGGCUUGUGUUUGAUGAGGUAUUUGAAGAUAAGCUGAAGGAAACCCCGAUUCCAAUGGACCUGGCAUCACAGUUUGAGAGACCUUCAAAGGAGGACGUGAUUGCAUGCCAUCUUCAGUGCAGGGGUCGUCGAAAGCCAAAAUUGUGACCGAUCUGAUCAGGAAGCUCCAAGCGUAUCUGGAGAACAACACACGACAGGAUGAUAACCUUAUAGUGUCGUCUUAAAUAGCACCAGCUGACAAAGCUUUGAUAUGCCAUUUAU